GCUGGGUGCAGUGGUGCACACCUGUAAUUCAAGUGGCUCGGGAGGCUGAGGCAGGAGGAUAACAAGUCAAAGCCAGCCUCAGCAACAGCAAGGCACUAAGCAACUCAGUGAGACCCUGUCUCUA
rnacentral:sRNA from 1 species